CUUACAUGAAGCAUUUUGGUCAAAGAGGAUGACGACACAUCACGACACGAGAGAGCAUUGGGAAGAAGAGCGGGCUGUGACUGCCACAGGUGGACAGUGACAGGAGAGAUUUCUUGAAGUCAAGGAUGCUUCCUUGGUAAGAAGGACCCUUCUAAGACAGACCCUUGAAAAGAUCCCGCCUUGUACGUGUGCAUAGGAUUGUGGGUGCUUUAAGAACACUGAGGAUACACACAUGCAUCUUUGAAAAUUCUUUCAACGAAGAACUUGGUCCUUGGUAGAAUUCAAAGGAUCCUAGACAUCGGAAGAGUCCUUUGGCAGGAUGUGGCAUCUGUGAGAUGCAGACGUUACGGAUCCUCCCUUGACGCUGAGAAACACCCAGUGUUUCCAGUCAGACCUUCUUGACACACGCUUUGAAGCGCCAGUAUUACGAAGACAUGAUAAAUAAAUUGAUUUUAUUUUAAUUAUUUUCCCACUAUUGACAAAGCCCAAAAAGCUGCUUGGCUGGCUGAAUGAAAAAAUUAAUAAGAAAAUAUUUGCUCCAGACAUUUAGAGGUGCUAAAAUAAUAACAGAUAUUCAAACGCAUUACACCCUCCUUUCUUGCGCAGGCUGUGACCAAACCACAGAGCAGGAGGAAAUGGUAUUAAAUCUAACCGUUUUAGACUGCACCAUCUAACAAGUGUUCAAUUUUUCCACUGAAAUUGUGGAUUUAGGGUGUUUUCACACUUGGUCCCUUUCAGCCAUCUAACCGAACUCAGAUCGAUGACUCAGCAUUUUUUGUGCAUAUAUGAACACUCCAACCGUACCCAGACCCCUUUAAAGCGAACCGAACUGAGACCACCUCAGGAGGUGGUCUCCGUACGGUUCGCUAAAAAUCAACGGUACGGUUCGCCUAAUCUGCGCAUUGUGAACAAAAAGCGCACCGGGUUCACGUCGCCUUUUUCACUGUAGUUUAACCUUCUUCGUUUGCCGUAGUUGGUCACGUGACUGUAGCAGGGAAACUCAACUUCCUUUUGGAACUUACCACAGCUGCUUUACAGUUCUCUGAACUUAGUGUUAUUUUCCUUAAUCCGCACUAUUUUGAUCAAAGAAUACAGCAGGGCAAGCAUGGCAGCAGACAUUUUGAUUCAAGAGAAAAUUACCCAGAAUUCCGUGCACUGGGGGUCUGAGGGCUCUAGAGGACCUGGUGUGAACAGAAAGAGGACUGAGGCCCCAUCAAAGCUUAACCCAGUCCUCUUUGUAAUAAAUUCACAGUGUGAACACAAAAAGAACCGAGUUCUUUUUCUGUUGGUCCACUUUUUGGUCCACUUAAAGAGGACUGAGUCUGGUUCCUUUAAAGGAGACCAGGUGUGAAAACACCCUUAGAAGCCACAUGAGUGAAAUGCCCGAGUUGGCAGGUGAAUGUGAAAUAUAAAUAUGGAUUUCAAAACAUUUAAGUGCAAACCCACUUUUAGGUUGGCAAGCUGCAGGAUAGGGGAUUUGUCUUGUCCAAAAAAUGAUCUGGAAACCCAGCAGACUGAAUAUCUCUACAUACUACAUGUGCUCCCUUAUGACGGUUCCUGAUGCAGUGGCGUCCGUGGGAUCGGAGAUCACGGGCGUUCAGCUUAGGCUUGUGCCCUUGCCUUUUACGCACCGAAAUUUCUCGAAUUGUUUAAUGAUAUUAUGCACCGUAGUGGGUUAGAUAUCCAAAUUCCUUCUCGUCUUUCUUUAAGGAACACUGUUUUUGAACAUUUCAAUAAUUUUCUCAUGCAUUUCCUGACAAGCUAGAGAGCCUCAGUCCAUCUUUGCUCCUCAAAGACUAGGCCUUUCCUGUGUACUGAUUUUGUACUAAAUCAUGAUUACAAAUCACCUGUUGGCAUCACGUGUUUCAAAUCACAUCAUUAUUUAAUUGUUUUACCUCAUUACAAGCCCUAAAUUGCUCUCGUCCCAACUUUUUUUUUAAUGUGUUGCAGGCCUGAAACGCAGGCAUGGAUGUAGAUUAACGAAUGAAAUGAAGUUGAUCAGACAAAACAGGAAAUAUUUUGGGUUCAUACUGUCUGCAAUAAAAUUCUCUCUUUCAUUUUUUUUUUUAA